rnacentral:rRNA from 1 species
UACGUAGGGUGCGAGCGUUAAUCGGAAUUACUGGGCGUAAAGCGUGCGCAGGCGGUUCGUUGUGUCGGCGGUGAAAGCCCCGGGCUCAACCUGGGAAUGGCUGUUGAAACUGGCGAACUGGAGUGUGGCAGAGGGGGGUGGAAUUCCGCGUGUAGCAGUGAAAUGCGUAGAGAUGCGGAGGAACACCGAUGGCGAAGGCAGCCCCCUGGGCUGACACUGACGCUCAGGCACGAAAGCGUGGGGAGCAAACAGG